UACACAUUCUGCCUGCCUGUGCCCCCGCAAAGGAAAGAGCUCCUUCCACAGCUGUUUGUUCUGGCAGCCCCGAACACCAUAGCAGCCUGAAGCACCACAGCCCAGAAGCUAAGCAGGGUCCAGAGACUCCACAGGUGGUCGCCAAAGGCGACGCUGCUCUAAGUUUUAGGCAAUUGGGAAAAGAAGGCCAUAUCCCUAAAGUUAUCCCAGCGUCGGAUCCGCCACGCUGUUUCCUCAGCCCCAAGGGACGGUUCCGCCUGCAAUCGUUUUCCAACUCCCGGCCAGCUUAAGCUUCAUCCUCGCCUGCACCCCACCUCCAUCCCUUUCCCGGCCACCCGUGAAACGCCUUGAGGAAGCCAUUUUAAACAGUGCUAUCGCGAGAUACACUUCGCAGUUUCCAGUCUGAUUCAUUUACUUUCUUGCGAGAGUCUCUUCUCGUCUGCUCUCGCUGUAGCCAAGGAAAGUGUCGCGAGAGCUGGUUGCCUUGGCUCCCUGUAGCUAUAGCAGCCGCGGCGGUUAAGUAUGCGGUGGCUGGAGCGGUACUGGGAGAUCCCUAGGGAGGACACCGGAACCUUCAGAGGCUGGAAAACGGGUGAUGCAUCCUCAGCAACUCUUCUGUAUUUUUCCUCGUGCUGGUGUUUUUUUACACAACUGUCUGGGGAUGACCCAAGAUGCUCACAGUGGCCCUGUCUCUUGGAGUGUCUGGUGAGUAUCAGCUCUCUCCCAGUAGAGAGCCUGUAGUUGGUGGAGCAUCUUAGGGAAACAGCUAGAUGCCCUUUUGCUGAGAGCAGUUUCCUGAUAUACAUUUUCUCUAAAAAGCUAACUGUUUUGAAUAUUAAGAUUUUUUUUUCUCUCAGUCCCAGCUCCUUUCCUGGCCAAGACACACGUUGGUGCUGGUGCUAAAGGAGAAAAGGCACACAUGCAUCUUGUCCUCUGGUUUCUCUCAGGCUUGUGAAGGGAAAAUAACUAUCCCAAAGUGCAAGAAAAAUCCACCUUAAUGAGGUAGUGUCUGAACUUACAAGAGGAAAAUACACAUCAGGUACACAGGAGGCAAAGCACGC
rnacentral:lncRNA from 1 species